rnacentral:rRNA from 1 species
GGAAUAUUGGUCAAUGGAGGGAACUCUGAACCAGCCAUGCCGCGUGCAGGAUGACUGCCCUAUGGGUUGUAAACUGCUUUUGUCAGGGAAUAAACCUUUCCACGUGUGGGAAGCUGAAUGUACCUGAAGAAUAAGGAUCGGCUAACUCCGUGCCAGCAGCCGCGGUAAUACGGAGGAUCCAAGCGUUAUCCGGAUUUAUUGGGUUUAAAGGGUGCGUAGGCGGUCCUAUAAGUCAGUGGUGAAAGACGGCAGCUUAACUGUCGCAGUGCCUUUGAUACUGUAGGACUUGAAUCUAUUUGAAGUGGGCGGAAUAAGACAAGUAGCGGUGAAAUGCAUAGAUAUGUCUUAGAACUCCGAUUGCGAAGGCAGCUCACUAAGUUAGUAUUGACGCUGAUGGACGAAAGUGCGGGUAGCGAACAGGAUUAGAUACCCUUG